AGUAAUUUGUUUUAUUCAAAUGUUGUAAAGAGCAUAAGCUCAUCUUUACUUUGAAGUACUCCUUUCUUGUUUUAUUUGAUAUGCAUGAAAAUGGAGUAGAGGGUCCAACGCCCCUAAGACAACACGCCUUAAUGUGAUUAAACGUGUAACUAAAAUCAAUCACCAUCCCUAGACCAAGAUUCAACACUAGGCUCGUGUUGAAUCUAAACAAAAGGUUCAUAGUCAUCCUAAGGCCCUAAGGCAACUAUAUAGUCCAUCAAAUGAAUGCAAAGUUUAUGUUAGUAGUAUCAUAUACUCUUGCUUUAAAACCGUUUUAUAAGCAUAGUGGGAGUAUUAUAUACAACUAAAUUCAAUCAAAUGGACCAAUAGUUGUAAUAGGAACAAAAUUGUUUUAAUAAGAUUAAAAUGUAUGUUCAUAUAUGAUGAGACCUAAAACCCUCAACCAAACCAUUAUUAAGUUGAUAAGCGAGAGAUGCUUUGAACAUCUCUUCGUAGGCCUUGCACCAUGGUGGGCUUCAAUCGUUUGUGACUCAUACACCGUAUUCGUCCAAUUCUGGGGUAUGCAAAGUAUGUGCUUACAUUCAGGAGAAGCCUAUAAACAUAUGAUGAAGUGAAGGUAGGCAACG
rnacentral:lncRNA from 1 species